rnacentral:rRNA from 1 species
GAGUUUGAUCGUGGCUCAGAUUGAACGCUGGCGGCAUGCCUUACACAUGCAAGUCGAACGGCAGCAUGAUCUAGCUUGCUAGAUUGAUGGCGAGUGGCGAACGGGUGAGUAAUACAUCGGAACGUGCCCUGUAGUGGGGAUAACUAGUCGAAAGAUUAGCUAAUACCGCAUACGACCUGAGGGUGAAAGUGGGGGACCGGCAAGGCCUCAUGCUAUAGGAGCGGCCGAUGUCUGACUAGCUAGUUGGUGGGGUAAAGGCCCACCAAGGCGACGAUCAGUAGCUGGUCUGAGAGGACGAUCAGCCACACUGGGACUGAGACACGGCCCAGACUCCUACGGGAGGCAGCAGUGGGGAAUUUUGGACAAUGGGCGAAAGCCUGAUCCAGCAAUGCCGCGUGUGUGAAGAAGGCC